GAAAGUAACAAAACUGGAUGCCUGAAUCUGUCCUACUAUCUUCUCGAAUUGCCCCGGUGUGAUAUCGGGGUUUACAAAGGCCUAAUCCAGAAUCUUCUGUAGGGUUUGGCGAUGCACCUCUGAACUUAAGAUCAAUGAUAACAACGAAAUCCGGGCAGGCGUCUUCCUCAGUUGCUUAACAACGUCAUAUUCACUUUGAUUCAUUAUUUGAAGCAACAGUUCUUCUUCUCCAUUUGAUCCCGCAGGUUCUCCCCUCUCUGCUUUCUUAACCUCCUCUUCCGUGUUCUCUUGUAGCUCUCUCAUUUUUACUUUCCCUUUCUUCUUUUCUUUUUCAUCAGACCCGUAACAUCUCCCACUUCUGGUUAUAAACUCAACUUCUUGCUCAGG
rnacentral:misc_RNA from 1 species